rnacentral:rRNA from 1 species
UACGAAGGGUGCAAGCGUUACUCGGAAUUACUGGGCGUAAAGCGUGCGUAGGUGGUUUCUUAAGUCUGCUGUGAAAGCCCCGGGCUCAACCUGGGAAUUGCAGUGGAUACUGGGGAGCUAGAGUGCGGUAGAGGGUAGUGGAAUUCCCGGUGUAGCGGUGAAAUGCGUAGAGAUCGGGAAGAACACCAGUGGCGAAGGUGGCUACCUGGACCAGCACUGACACUGAGUCACGAAAGCGUGGGGAGCAAACAGG